GCUAACGUUUUUUGAAAAGUGCCAAUAUUUCUGAACCGUACGUCAUAUUACAUUGCGUUUGUUUUGUCUGCUGGAUUCUGUGUAGCAUCUAAGUGAGAUCGUCCCUACAACAAGAUGUAAUCUGAAGGAUAGCCGGGUCUGAUAAGAACGCAAGCUGAAAGAGAUUAGAAUGACAUACUGCACAUUUGUUUCCGUUAGCUUGCUUGGCUAAGUGCCGCUUGGAAGUGGAAGUGUACAAGGGCUUAGGCCACGGCUCAUGCAUUAUGCAUCAUGUUGUGGCAUUGCAUCUCGGCAACGCGGCCCACAUCUCCUUAAAGUUACACGCGUUUGCAUCUCUGUCGAAUAGCUGAGCUGCAGCUAUCGCACGGCGUCCACACACAUCUGUUUAGCAUUUCAGGAAGAGCACAAAACAAGGUGUGGAGCUUAUCACAGCAAGCUUUUUUAUCAUUUAAGACUUUUAAUGGAACAUGACGUUCACUUUUUCAGGCUCAUGGUGGAUCCAGAGAACAUCUCAAGAACCGUGCCCCCAACCCCGUGAAGGAAACCAGGGAACUUAAAGGAAACCUGUGUGAACAUCGGAAGGAACAUGAGGAUUGGAUUCUGGAGCUGUGAAGCAUCAGGUCUACCAGCUUCACCACCAUGUACACAAUAAAGUCUUCAGACUUCUCACAACCAUAUACAGUUUUCUGAACAGUAAAGACAGUGAAAAUAACAAGAUCAUGAGUACAAGUGACUGGAAUGAGGUUGAGAUGUGAGACCAUAUGUGAGACCACUGAGACCCUUCUAAAAGAGAAGGCUUCUCUGAUGUAACAGGAAGCAUUUAAGGUGGUGUUGAUAAGUUGUUUGGAUGCUCUCUGGUCAGCUUCUGCUUGAGCUCUAUCAGCUCUAUAUAAUUAUAUAUCAUUGGAUUGGGAACAUUUAAAAAAUCAGUGUCCACAAUUUAUGUGGGGUAUUUUCCAAAACCUUUAACGCUUUGGUUUUUUAUCACUUCACCUCACCCUGUGACACUAUUACAAUUGACAGGUCAGAGCUGAAUGGGUUAACACUUAUCUCUUCACCAUCCAUGACAAUAGGAUGAAUUUAACCAAUUUUCAUCCCAUUCACACAAGAUCAGCAUUUUUAAUUAAUACGAUAAGACAUCUAUUUCGGUUUUAACCUCCUCAGAUUAAAUGAAAGUUGGACUUCCAAAUGCCCCAGGCCUAGAGAUAGUUAAUUAUAAAAGUUAACGAAAAAAUCUAUUAAUAUACCCGUAAUUAAAAAUUGCAUUAUUUAAUAUCUUGAAAACCUUUCCAAUCGGCAUUUCUUAAAAAGAUUGGCUUGUUUGCCAAAAGCAAGUUUUUCAGUGGGUGUGUUUUCUUCCACACAGUUUCCUCUACAGGGGAAAAAAAUAUCUUGACUUUCCUCCGGCUAAGAUUGAGCUCUGCUGCAGAGGAGAAGGAGAGAGAGGGAGAGACUGGCUAGGGCCUGGCUUUUAAUUGGGAUUGUCUGAGUGUGUGUGUGUGUGUGUGUGUGUGUGUGUGUGUGUGUGUGUGUGUGUGUGUGUGUGUGUGUGUGUGUGUGUGUGUGUAUGGAGGGGGAGAUAGGCAUGCCGAGGUGCGAGAGGGGAAAAUCGAAAUGGGUCAGGACGCACAUAGACACUUCUCUGCCAGGCUCCCUGCUGUUACUAUGGUAACCCACCGUGGUGCGCUGUGCACGCCGGCGCCUCGGCAGGUGAUCCAACAGACGCAAAUUAAACUCUGCCGUGCGUGUUGGGGCGACAGCGUGACGACCCUGCGUCCACCAGACACCAGCAUCAGACGGCGGGUGCUCAUUUACUGUACCACCGCCGCCUCCAUGGUAAAUAACGGCCACUUUGAAUUGGGCAAACAAACCACCAGAGAUGUAGCUGAGGUUUGUUGUAAAUUGUGAGAUGUGUGUUUUCUAGAAGCUUCUAUCCGAGGGUGAGCAAGACAACAUACAUGCAUGGUAUUGCAGAAGAAUGCAAGGAAGGAGAUGGGAUUAAGAAUGAUGAUGCAGAGUUCUAACACACACACACACACACACACACACACACACACACACACAC